rnacentral:rRNA from 1 species
GGAAUAUUGGACAAUGGGGGCAACCCUGCUCCAGCGAUGCCGCGGGGGUGAAGAAGGCCUUCGGGUUGUAAAGCCCUUUAGGUCGGGACGAAGGAUAGUGGAGGAAAUGCCAUUAUUUUGACGGUACCGACAGAAUCAGAACCGGCAAACUCUGUGCCAGCAGCAGCGGGAAUACAGAGGUUGCGAGCGUUAAUCGGAUUUACUGGGCGUAAAGGGCGCGUAGGCGGUGUGAUGUGUGUGAUGUGAAAGCCCCGGGCUUAACCUGGGAAGUGCAUCGCAAACUAUCGCACUAGAGUAGAUGAGAGGGUGGUGGAAUUUCCGGUGUAGCGGUGAAAUGCGUAGAGAUCGGAAGGAACGUCGAUGGCGAAGGCAGCCACCUGGCAUCAUACUGACGCUGAGGCGCGAAAGCGUGGGGAUCGAAC